rnacentral:rRNA from 1 species
AUGGCUCCCGUCGCUGGUCACCGGCAUCCACGGUCAUCGGAGGAGGCAGAAACUGCAGCAGCCGUCGCUGCCGGACAGGAUGGCGAGGAGGAGCCAUCAGUGGAGGUGGCGUUCGCGGGCCAGCCGCCACCGCCGUGGUGGCGGCAGGUCACGGUGCGGUCGGUGGCCGUGAGCACGGUGCUGGGCGCCGUGCUGAGCUUCAUGUCGAUGCGGAUCGGGCUGACGGCCGGCGUCGGCCCGACGUUCAACAUCGUGGCGAGCCUCCUCGGCUUCUUCGUGAUCAAGUCGUGGACGCGGCUGCUGGCCCGCUUCGGCGUCGCCUCGCAGCCCUUCACCAGGCAGGAGAACGUCGUCCUCCAGACCUGCAUCAUCUCCUGCUCCACCCUCUCCUUCUACGGUGGUUUCACGACCUACCUGCUCGCGAUGACCGAGACGGUGGCGAAGUCCGCCGGCGGGACGGGCACCGGCAAGGACGUGUACACGCUGCACACCGGGAACGUGGUGGCCUUCCUCGGCCUCGUCACCUUCGCCAGCCUGUUCUGCACCCUCCCACUGCGGAAGCUCAUGAUACUGGACUACAAACUGAUGUAUCCAUCUGGUUCAGCUAUCGCCGGAAUCGUCAACAGCUUCCACACGCCAGCGGGAGCCGCAACAGCAAAGAGGCAGGUGCUGGCCAUGUCCAAAGCCGUUGUUGGAAGCUUCAUGUGGGCAUCCUUCCAGUGGGUUUACACGGGAGGGAGCGGCUGCGGCUUCCAAGAUUUUCCCUUGUUCGGAUUGAAGGCAUACAAGCAGAAGUUUUACUUCGAUUUCUCCGCGAGUCUCGUCGGUGUGGGCAUGAUCUGCCCUGUCCUCAUCAACUUCUCCAUGCUUUUCGGAUCUAUCAUUACCUCCUUCUUCCUGUGGCCAACCCUCCAGAGCAAGAAAGGGGACUGGUACAACGAUCCUUCGCCGACAAAUUUCAGGGGAAUCAAUGGAUACAAGGUGCCCAUGGGCAUAUCGAUGGUGCUCGGGGAUUGCCUGUUCCAACUGGGUUCAAUCACCAUAAGGGCUGCCAACCACUUCCACAUGAAUCGCCAGCAACGGAAUCCCGGCGGUACCAACAUACCAGCCGAUGGAAAUUCAGAUAAACAAACAGCUCUUAGCUACGAUGAGCGUCGCAGGAACAAGAUCUUUCUGAAUGAAGGACUGCCGGGCUAUGUCUCGGUUGCUGGCUACAUCCUCUUCGCAGCCGUCUCAGCAAUCUUUGUUCCACGUAUCUUCCCACAGAUGCGAUAUUACCAUGUGGCCUUAUUAUACGCUGUCGCUCCCAUCUUGGCAUUCUGCAAUUCAUAUGCUUCUGGACUGUGUGACUGGUCCCUGGCAUCCGUCUAUGCGAAGCUUGCUAUAUUCCUUGUUGGGGCAUGGGUUGGUGAAGCAUCUGGUGGCGCCAUUGCCGGUCUUGCUGCCUGUGGUGUCAUGUUGAUGAUCAUUGGCAAUGCUGCUGAGCUCAUGCAUGACUUCAAGACAGGAUACCUAACACUCACCUCGCCGCUGUCAAUGUUCAUAAGCCAAGUAAUUGGGACUGCACUUGGUUGCUUGAUCAACCCGCUUGUCUUCCUGUCCUUCGAAAAACUUGUUGGCAAAGAGCAUCUGGGAGAAGCUGGAUCGGUAUUCUCGGCGCCCUUGGCCACCGCAUACCGUGGGCUCGCAGUUUUAAGUGUUGAAGGAACCAAGAUACUCCCAAAGCACUCCAUUGAGUUCUGUAUAGCUUUCUUCCUUAUGGCCUUUUGCUUGGAUUGCCUGUCAGCAGUAGCCAAAGCAAGGAAGUGGAAGGCAAGUAACUACAUUCCAAACGCCAUGGCUAUGGCAAUUCCAUUCUUAAUCGCACCGAAUAUUGCAAUAGACAUGGCCUUGGGGAGUCUACUGUUAGUUAUCUGGAAGAAAACAGAUAAGAAAAACGCAAAUAUGCUUGCAGUUGUAGUAGCAUCAGGUUUGAUAUGUGGAGAUGGACUUUGGGCAUUGCCAUCAGCAUUACUUUCAAUUUUCCAAAUCGAGCCACCCAUCUGCAUGAAGUUCUUGUCUAGUCAUCAGAACAAGAUAAUGCGGGAGCACUUCCUACCCAAAGUGACUACCUCACGAUGA